AUUGAACGCUGGCGGCAUGCCUUACACAUGCAAGUCGAACGGCAGCACGGGAGCAAUCCUGGUGGCGAGUGGCGAACGGGUGAGUAAUAUAUCGGAACGUGCCCAGUCGUGGGGGAUAACGUAGCGAAAGCUACGCUAAUACCGCAUACGAUCUAUGGAUGAAAGCGGGGGAUCGCAAGACCUCGCGCGAUUGGAGCGGCCGAUAUCAGAUUAGGUAGUUGGUGAGGUAAAGGCUCACCAAGCCGACGAUCUGUAGCUGGUCUGAGAGGACGACCAGCCACACUGGGACUGAGACACGGCCCAGACUCCUACGGAGGCAGCAGUGGGGAAUUUUGGACAAUGGGCGCAAGCCUGAUCCAGCAAUGCCGCGUGCAGGAUGAAGGCCUCGGUUG
rnacentral:rRNA from 1 species